UUUAUCAUUAGUAUAAUAAGCAUCAAAUUAAAAUUUAUAUGUAAUAGUGUUGAUGUUAAUUUGUUUAUUAUUUAGGAUUUUUGACUAUUACAAUGCUUCAAAAAAGAAAACUCCAAGACCAGCUGGUAUUAUAUGGAAAAUUAUAAAAUGUCCUCGACAACCCAAACACUUUGAAUGUGGAUAUUAUGUUAUGAAAUACAUGCGGGAUUUAUGCAUGGAUUCAAGACCUCUCAAUUGGUUAAAUACUAAUUGCAACAAUAGAAUGGAGAAUUAUUACACAAAUGAAGAAAUUGAUGAAAUUCGAAUAGAGUGGGCCGAUGCAUUCAUAGAAUUGAUUUAAUAUUUUAUUAUGUUUUUAUUCAUUUUUAUUGAACAAAUGAAUCAUACUAUAUUAUCAUUUUAUUUUAUUUGUUUUUAUUAAUAUUUUAGUUUAUCUUUUUUCUCUUCUAUUUUUCAACACUCUUUAGAAGUUUCAAUAAAGCAACGAUAUAAGUUUUUAUUUUGUGAGAAAAUUAUAAUUCUACUCUUUAAAAUUUUUUAUUUUUAAAAUAAUAUUUAGUAAUACUGUUUGUAUUAGGUGCGAACCUAAUUAUAAUUAAUUUUAAUUUUUUUAAAAAAUACAUGCAAAUUGUAUAUA